CACCAUUUAUGUCUUAAAUCAUUAUGACAUGCCUAGCUAUUAAAAAGGGGCUAGUGAAUGAGGUAACUUGCGAGUGAAGCAAGGGAAAAAUGAAUGAUCAAUGAGGAUCAAGAUGAUUAUGUGAGAUGCGGAGGAUGGUGGUGGAAGUGCUUGUUAAGCCAUGGGCCGAAAGGCUGUAAUUGCUAAUGAAACGGCUGGUUAUGGAUUUAACCGUGAGCCGGAAAGGCUGUGUAUAAUAUGAAUAUUGGCUGGUUCUGGACUGAACCGUGAGCCGGAUGGCUGAUAUGGAUGUUGAUCCAUGGAUGAGAAUUCAUGCAUGCUUAUGCUGAAUUAUUGAUAAUUGAGAUUUGCACUUCCACUAUCAGAGGCACGAGAUCCCUGGGAGGAAGCAGUGGCUAGCCACCACGUGCUCCAGGN
rnacentral:lncRNA from 1 species